ensembl:lncRNA
ACUAUUCGGCAGUUUAUUUCCCCGGAGGACAAGGUUCAGAUGGAAAGGUCUGCGGAUUUUUGUGAGGAGAGGGUUUCAAACUCACAAGCAUCAAGGGAGUAGGGAUACAACUUAUCACGCAAUCCUGGAUUCUCAGAUCCGGAAACGCCACAGGGCAGGGGUCCUGAGCACUGAGGCCACUUGUGCGCUCCUGAGGGCCCCCCAUCCUGCUGGUUGGACACACCGUGUGGCCCGCAGCGGUCUUCAGUUCUCUGAUGCCCCCCCCGUGUGGGACGGCGUGGGGUGCAAGCAAGAAAACCACCCCUGGAUUGCACACGCUCGUCUCCCCAGAGCGUCUCAGGUAUGUCCCCACCCUGGGGUGGCUUGUCGUCUGUCCUCCACUCGUUGACUUUUGCCCUGGUUUCCUCGUCUGUAAGGAAGGGAAGUGUCAGCGUGGACCCUGUCAGGCGGGAGGAUGUGGCCACUCCUCCUCCGGAUGGACUUUGUCCCGUGAAUAACACCGCGCUGAACAUCUCUGAGCGGAGUUCCGAGGUUUGGCAUCCAUGGCUCCACGGAGAAAUGCACUGACGCUGAUGACGCGUGUGCCCCGUUCCUUGCCUAAGGGAUGGUGCCAUAUCCUGCGCUCAGCCUCUCGCCUUCUACACUUUGAGCCAAAGAGCCUCAUGUUGGAGUUCCCGUCGUGGCUCAACGGUUAACGAAUCUGACUGGCAUCCGUGAGGAUGCAGGUUCGAUCCCUGACCUUGCUCAGUGGGUUAAGGAUCUUGUGUUGCUGUGGCUGUGGUGUAGGCCAGCAGAUGUAGCUCCGAUUCAACCCCUAGCCUGGGAACCUCUAUAUGCCGCUGGUGCAGCCCUAAAAAGACAACAGCAAAAAGAAACCAAAAAAAAGGGAAAAAAAGGCAAAGAGCCGCAUGUUUCCCCAGCCCAACCCCUUCUAAAUGUUGACCACCUCCUUUGCGUACCAGACACCAAUUAGGGGGCCUCGUAUGAUACGAAAUUCUCUGCAGAACCCGGAAAUUCCUCGCGUGGAUUUUUGCGAUGGUGAAUUGCGUGGCCGCUGGCCUGGUCCGCGGGGCCCAGAUAUGGAUGUUUUCAGCUGGGUAUCCUGGGGGCUGUGGUUAACCCUGAAAUCAGCGGACUCGGAGUAAAGGAGCUUGCCCUCCGUACUAGGACCCACCACUGCCCAGCGAGCCGCCCCCAGGCCGGCUGAAAGCACGAUCGUUGACUGUCAUUGACUGCGCUCCCGCAUCUGCCAUUUGGGCAGGGCUCAGGGGCAGGUUUUACGUAAGAUAAGCUACAGUUACCGUGGAACUCAUACGUGUAUACCCGGGAGAAAUCAAAACACACAUCGACCCCAAUGUGCACGAAUGUGUGGAGCAGCAGUGGUCAUGACACGCCGAAGGCGGGAACGGCCGUCGGUGGCUGAACCGACGCCCCGAAGCGGUAUCAUCACAUAACGCAAUUAUUGAGCCAUAAAUCAGAGCGACGCUGCAGCCAUCAAGAGAAUGUGGCCCUGGCCAAAGAACAGACAAAUCCUUCAACGAGACAGGAUGGAGAGACCAGAAGUAGAGCCAGAUGAAUGCAGCCAAUUGAUCUUUAACAGCCGAGCGGAGCAAAGGUACCCCUUUCAACAAACGGCGCAGGAGCAACUGGACGCCCCCCCCCACACACACACACAAAAGUGAAUCCAGACCCAGACCUCACACCUUCACAACAAUUAACUCAAAAUGGAUCGCAGACCUAAAUGCAAAUUCGCAACCAUGGCAUUCCUAGAAGCCAGCAGAGGAGAAGGCCCGGGGGGCCGCGGGCUUGGCUUUGUAGGUCCAACGUCAAGGACGCGGUCCACGAGGGAAUAAUCAUCAGCGGGACGUCCUUGGAUGGAAAGACUCUGCUCGGUGAGAGACGCUGUCAAGAGGAGAAGCCAAGCUCAGACGCGGAGAAAACAUUUGCAUAAGGCACCUCCGAUAACGGCCUGUUAUUCAAAAUACGAAGAACCCAUAAACUCAACAGUCGGGAAAAAAACAGCUCUACUAAAAAUGGGCCAAAGACCCCAACAGAGCCCCCCACUGCCAAAGAAGAGGUACCGAUGGGAAAUAAGCGUCUGAAAAGGCCUUCAUUGGAGUUCCCGUUGUGGCGCAGUGGUUAACGAAUCUGACUAGGAACCAUGAGGUUGCGGGUUCGAUCUCUGGCCUCGCUCAGUAGUUAAGGAUCCGGCGUUAUCAUGAGCUGUGGUGUAGUUUGAAGACGCGACUCGGAUCCGGCGUUGCUGUGGCUGUGCCUGUGGUGUAGGCCGGCAGCUACAGCUCCAACUGGACCCCUAGCCUGGGAACCUCCAUAUGCCGAGGGAGUGGCCCUAGAAAAGAUAAAAAGACAGAAAAAAAAAAAAAAAA